GAAAACUCCUAACCUUGCAAACUCUGGAGGUGAUGGAAAAAGUGUUUUACCGCCGGGACUUCAGUCUAGGUGCGUGGGUGAUGACAUGGAAGGAAUCAGAUCAGAACCAGUGGAAUUUUUGUUGCUGCCUUCUCCUAACAUCAUGUCCAAGAAACCAGAUUUAAGAAAAGCCGCCGACUCUCAGCCAGUUCGGAAUAUCUCUCAAACUUCGUCGCAGCAUCACUAACGGUGCAAACUGAAAUCGAAGACCUUAAACAAUAGUAUCGCUG